rnacentral:lncRNA from 1 species
CAAAACCUGAACAGGCACACUUAAAAUCAUUCUUUUCACUUUUCAAUUUCCCCAAACUAGAGAAAACCCUUGGAGAAGAAAUGGGGUUCGAAGUCUUGCACUCAUCCAUUUCGAUCGGAAUUCGUCCAUCGCCUCCGGAAAAAUCGUUCGAUUAGAAUCCGUUCAUCGCCUCCGGCGAAAUCGUGCAACAGCUAUUCAUUUUCAGUUUCCCCCCAAACAAGAGCAAAACACUUGGAGGUGAAAACUUUGUUCGAUGUCCAGCACUCCUCCAUCUCGACCGAAGCAAGAAGCCGGCGAAAAUUUGUCCAAAUUGCCCAUCAGAAUACAGAAGCCGAAACAAGAAAGUGAGUACGCUUAAAAGGCUAGCUAUGGCAAAUUUUCUUGUGUACUGUUCGAAAAGGCAGCUUAAUCUUCUUACAUGUUUAUUCAAUAAUUCUCUCUAGUAGACUUUGGUGUGUGUUUGAAGGUGGUGGUGACAAUGGUUUGAUUGUAAGGUGGUGGGUGAUGAUAAGGUGGGCAACGAUGAUUAAGGUCUUCUCCCAUGUUUGAAAGGAUGAGAGGACGACAACAAUUUGAAAAUGGGUCGAGAGGGGAGAAUAAUCAUAUGACGGUCGAUAGCAAUUUGGAUUGCAUUGUUGUAUGCCAUUGCAGUCAUUGGUAGCCUGGACCUCAAUCCAUAUAAUUACCGUGCUCGGUACUUCACAAUUGAUUGCUACAGAGAUACAUAUUCAGAGUCUAUAUAUCCCAUUUCGCUCCCUACUGCUUUUGUUGUGUAGUAUGUGUUCUAUUGGGUAGUGCAAUAUGUUAUGUGUAGUUGGUGUUCAUUUGGGUGAUUGUAAUAUAUGCUAAGGAUGUUGGUAUAUGGAGUUAGUACAACUAGAGUAUGUUCUUCAGUAUUUGGGAAGAAUCUGUAAUUUUCAUUCACUACUAUCUCAGUAAUGUGAAUGUGAUUGAAAACAUGUUGCUAUUUUCGGCUCACCAAUUUGCCUGUAUUGAUACUUAUACAUUGUUAUACAACAUCAUCUUAGUUAAACAACAAUUGGUGCGAAAAUUGACAAGAUGCUUCCAUUUUCUAAAUUUUGUGCUGCUGAUGAUACAUUGUUAUACACUAAAGCAAAGA